rnacentral:antisense_RNA from 1 species
AUACCAGCAACUGAAAAGCAGAACAACAACACUUGGAUCGUAGGCUAACUCCUAAAAGAUUGAUCCCUGGUGCUGAUACAGAAACCGUCCAAGAAGCCUUGGAAAAGUGUCAGAUUCCCGAUGAUGCUCAAGAUGCUUUUGGCCGAAGACCAUAAGUGCUGAGAACUUCCUUGCUUCCUCUCAACUCACUCUGGGAUCAUCUUUCAUAACUCUAAGCUUUUCUCCAUCAUAUGUUUCCAACCUACACUGCAACUCAAGCAUGCCAAGUAGUCAUCAAUCUAUAAAGAAAUACUUAAAUGCAUUGUUGAGGAGGACUGCUACUCAAAGGAGCCUCUCAGGAAGCUUAUGCAAUAGGAAAGAAUCACCCUGUCUUACUCUUUAAAAGACUUUCCUGCAAGAGAGGCACACCAGACUCAAAAUUUCAUGUACUGUGCAAAAACAUGCCCAGGCCUUUGGAGAACUGGUCUUUUAAACAAGAAUUGAGACCAGGUGCAAUGGUUCAUGCCUGAAUGCCCAGCACUUCGGGAGACCAAGGUGGGAGGAUCGCUUGAGGUCAGGAGUUCAAAACCAGCCUGGGAAACAUAGUGAGACUCUGUCUCUACAAAAAAUUAAAAAAACAAAACAAAACAAAAAAAAA